UACAGAGGUCUCAAGCGUUGUUCGGAUUCAUUGGGCGUAAAGGGUGCGUAGGCGGCGCGGUAAGUCGGGUGUGAAAUCUUGGAGCUUAACUCCGAAACUGCAUUCGAUACUGCCGUGCUUGAGGACUGGAAAGGAGACUGGAAUUUACGGUGUAGCGGUGAAAUGCGUAGAGAUCGGGAGGAACACCCGUGGCGAAGGCGGCCAUCUGGACCAGCACUGACGCUGAGGCACGAAAGCGUGGGGAGCAAACAGG
rnacentral:rRNA from 1 species